rfam:Parcubacteria bacterium GW2011_GWB1_45_10 TW89_C0004, whole genome shotgun sequence.
GGGCAUGUAGCUCAACGGCAGAGCAAUCGUCUUAUACACGAUUGGUUCCAGGUUCGAGUCCUGGCAUGCCCA